rnacentral:ncRNA from 1 species
GUAAAGACAAUGAAGAGGAAGAGUAAAUAGUGAGUAUUUUCCAGAGAGUGAGCGGUGGUGAGAGCUCAUAAAUAUAGCUAUUGAAAAUCGCCUUAGAGUCGUAAGUUGAAAUUAGUAGACUUUUACCGGUUUAAGCCGUUAUUAUAUUAAGUAAAAAAUUUGGGUGGUACCGCGCGACCAAUAAUUCUCGCCCCAAGC